rnacentral:rRNA from 1 species
UGGCGGACGGGUGAGUAAUGUCUGGGAAACUGCCUGAUGGAGGGGGAUAACUACUGGAAACGGUAGCUAAUACCGCAUAACGUCGCAAGACCAAAGAGGGGGACCUUCGGGCCUCUUGCCAUCGGAUGUGCCCAGAUGGGAUUAGCUAGUAGGUGGGGUAAAGGCUCACCUAGGCGACGAUCCCUAGCUGGUCUGAGAGGAUGACCAGCCACACUGGAACUGAGACACGGCCCAGACUCCUACGGGAGGCAGCAUG